GAUGAACGCUGGCGGCGUGCCUAAUACAUGCAAGUCGAGCGAACAGACGGGGAGCUUGCUCCUUCGACGUUAGCGGCGGACGGGUGAGUAACACGUAGGUAACCUACCUAUAAGACUGGGAUAACUUCGGGAAACCGGAGCUAAUACCGGAUAAUAUUUCGAACCGCAUGGUUCGACAGUGAAAGAUGGCUUUGCUAUCACUUAUAGAUGGACCUGCGCCGUAUUAGCUAGUUGGUAAGGUAACGGCUUACCAAGGCAACGAUACGUAGCCGACCUGAGAGGGUGAUCGGCCACACUGGAACUGAGACACGGUCCAGACUCCUACGGGAGGCAGCAGUAGGGAAUCUUCCGCAAUGGGCGAAAGCCUGACGGAGCAACGCCGCGUGAGUGAUGAAGGUCUUCGGAUCGUAAAACUCUGUUAUUAGGGAAGAACAAACGUGUAAGUAACUGUGCACGUCUUGACGGUACCUAAUCAGAAAGCCACGGCUAACUACGU
rnacentral:rRNA from 1 species